rnacentral:rRNA from 1 species
UUGCCAGCAGCCGCGGUAAUACGUAGGGCGCAGGCGUUAUCCGGAAUUAUUGGGCGUAAAGAGCUCGUAGGCGGUUUGUCGCGUCUGCCGUGAAAGUCCGGGGCUUAACCCCGGAUCUGCGGUGGGUACGGGCAGACUAGAGUGCAGUAGGGGAGACUGGAAUUCCUGGUGUAGCGGUGAAAUGCGCAGAUAUCAGGAGGAACACCGAUGGCGAAGGCAGGUCUCUGGGCUGUAACUGACGCUGAGGAGCGAAAGCAUGGGGAGCGAACAGGAUUAGAUACCCUGGUAGUCC